AAGAAGCACCGGCUAACUCCGUGCCAGCAGCCGCGGUAAUACGGAGGGUGCGAGCGUUAAUCGGAAUUACUGGGCGUAAAGCGUACGCAGGCGGUCUGUUAAGUCAGAUGUGAAAUCCCCGGGCUCAACCUGGGAACUGCAUUUGAAACUGGCAGGCUAGAGUCUCGUAGAGGGGGGUAGAAUUCCAGGUGUAGCGGUGAAAUGCGUAGAGAUCUGGAGGAAUACCGGUGGCGAAGGCGGCCCCCUGGACGAAAACUGACGCUCAGGUACGAAAGCGUGGGGAGCAAACAGGAUUAGAUACCCUGGUAGUCCACGCUGUAAACGAUGUCGAUUUGAAGGUUGUGGCCUUGAGCCGUGGCUUUCGAAGCUAACGCGUUAAAUCGACCGCCUGGGGAGUACGGCCGCAAGGUUAAAACUCAAAUGAAUUGACGGGGGCCCGCACAAGCGGUGGAGCAUGUGGUUUAAUUCGAUGCAACGCGAAGAACCUUACCCACUCUUGACAUCCAGAGAACUUGGCAGAGAUGC
rnacentral:rRNA from 1 species